GGUGGGUUGGCCGAGCGGUUAGGUAGCGGACUGCAAAUCCGCUUACAGCGGUUCAACUCCGCUACCCACCUCCA
rnacentral:tRNA from 1 species